UACGUAGGAGGCGAGCGUUGUCCGGAUUUACUGAGCGUAAAGCGCGCGCAGGCGGCACUUCAAGUAAGGUGUGAAAUCUCCCUGCUCAACGGGGAGGGUGCACUUUAGACUGAGGAGCUAGAGGACGGUAGAGGGGGGUGGAAUUGCUGGUGUAGCGGUGAAAUGCGUAGAGAUCAGCAGGAACACCCGUGGCGAAGGCGGCCCCCUGGGCCGUACCUGACGCUGAGGCGCGAAGGCUAGGGGAGCGAACGGG
rnacentral:rRNA from 1 species